rnacentral:rRNA from 1 species
GACGAACGCUGGCGGCGCGCCUAACACAUGCAGGUCGAACGAGCGAGAGAGAGCUUGCUUUCUUGAGCGAGUGGCGAACGGGUGAGUAACGCGUGAGGAACCUGCCUCAAAGAGGGGGACAACAGUUGGAAACGACUGCUAAUACCGCAUAAGCCCACGGUGCCGCAUGGCACAGAGGGAAAAGGAGCAAUCCGCUUUGAGAUGGCCUCGCGUCCGAUUAGCUAGUUGGUGAGGUAACGGCCCACCAAGGCGACGAUCGGUAGCCGGACUGAGAGGUUGAACGGCCACAUUGGGACUGAGACACGGCCCAGACUCCUACGGGAGGCAGCAGUGGGGAAUAUUGCACAAUGGGGGAAACCCUGAUGCAGCGACGCCGCGUGGAGGAAGAAGGUCUUCGGAUUGUAAACUCCUGUUGUUGGGGAAGAUAAUGACGGUACCCAACAAGGAAGUGACGGCUAACUACGUG